UACGGAGGAUGCGAGCGUUAUCCGGAUUUAUUGGGUUUAAAGGGUGCGUAGGCGGCCGAGUAAGUCAGCGGUGAAAUUUUGCAGCUUAACUGUAACAGUGCCGUUGAUACUGCAUGGCUAGGAUUUGGUUGCUGUGGGUGGAAUGUGUGGUGUAGCGGUGAAAUGCUUAGAUAUCACACAGAAUAUCAAUUGCGAAGGCAGCUCACAAAGCCAAGAUUGACGCUGAGGCACGAAAGUAGUGGGGAGUCAAA
rnacentral:rRNA from 1 species